GACGAACGCUGGCGGCGUGCUUAACACAUGCAAGUCGAACGGAAAGGCCCUGCUUUUGUGGGGUGCUCGAGUGGCGAACGGGUGAGUAACACGUGAGUAACCUGCCCUUGACUUUGGGAUAACUUCAGGAAACUGGGGCUAAUACCGGAUAGGAGCUCCUGCUGCAUGGUGGGGGUUGGAAAGUUUCGGCGGUUGGGGAUGGACUCGCGGCUGAUCAGCUUGUUGGUGGGGUAGUGGCUUACCAAGGCUUUGACGGGUAGCCGGCCUGAGAGGGUGACCGGGCUCAAUGGGACUGCGGGACGGCGCAGACGCCUACGUGGGACAGCGGGGGGAAGUAUUGCACAAUGGGCGGAAGCCUGAUGCGGCAACGCCGCGGGUGGAAUGACGGCCUUCGGGGUGUGAACCGCUUUCGCCUGUGACGAAGCGUGAGUGACGGUAAUGGGUAAAGAAGCACCGGCUAACUACGUG
rnacentral:rRNA from 1 species